rnacentral:rRNA from 1 species
AACGAACGCUGGCGGCAUGCCUAACACAUGCAAGUCGAACGAGACCUUCGGGUCUAGUGGCGCACGUGUGCGUAACGCGUGGGAACCUGCCCUUAGGUUCGGAAUACCUCCCCGAAGGGGGUGCUAAUACCGGUUAAUGUCUUCCGACCAAGAUUUAUCGCCUUUGAAUGGGCCCGCGUUGGAUUAGCUCGUUGGUAGGGUAAAAGCCUACCAAGGCGACGAUCCAUAGCUGGUCGGAGAGGAUGAGCAGCCACACUGGGACUGAGACACGGCCCAGACUCGUACGGGAGGGAGCAGUGGGGAAUAUUGGAGGAGGGGCGAAAGCCUGACCAAGCAGUGCCGCGUGAGUGAGGAAGGCGUUAGGGUUGUAAUGCUCUUUGAGCCGGGAUGAUAAUGACAGUACCGGGAGAAUAAGCACCGGCUAACUACGUG